UACGUAGGUGGCAAGCGUUGUCCGGAUUUACUGGGCGUAAAGGGAGCGUAGGCGGAUUUUUAAGUGAGAUGUGAAAUACCCGGGCUUAACUUGGGUGCUGCAUUUCAAACUGGAAGUCUAGAGUGCAGGGGAGGAGAAGGGAAUUCCUAGUGUAGCGGUGAAAUGCGUAGAGAUUAGGAAGAACACCAGUGGCGAAGGCGCUUCUCUGGACUGUAACUGACGCUGAGGCUCGAAAGCGUGGGGAGCAAACAGG
rnacentral:rRNA from 1 species